rnacentral:rRNA from 1 species
GACGUAGGGCGCGAGCGUUGUCCGGAUUUAUUGGGCGUAAAGAGCUCGUAGGCGGCUUGUCGCGUCGAAUGUGAAAACCUACAGCUUAACUGUGGGCUUGCAGUCGAUACGGGCAGACUUGAGUUCGGUAGGGGAGACUGGAAUUCCUGGUGUAGCGGUGAAAUGCGCAGAUAUCAGGAGGAACACCGGUGGCGAAGGCGGGUCUCUGGGCCGAUACUGACGCUGAGGAGCGAAAGCAUGGGUAGCGAACAGG